GGUUGCCGGUGCUACGUGUUAUUUUCACUUCUUGAGAUGAUCUAUGAGGACCCAUUCCUCUGCAUCACCAUGCAGGAUUAUGGGUCCACUACAGCCUGUCCCUGCACAGGACUUGGGACAAGAGGCGAGGCGCACACUGGACUGGUCUCGCCAGGGAUCAAAGACCUUCUUUGACCGAAGGAUCCCUCACACAUGCAGCGUGUCGAAAGAUGUGUGAAGAGAAUACAUCAAACUGCCUGGAGCUUCCCCGAACUUAGCGUAACCGCAAACAGACUUUUUCAAGCAGGUUCGUGCUGACCUCUGACAGGUUCAAAGGGGUCCUCGGGCGCAUCCACGAAGUGCGGCUCUGCUCUGUGGACACCGUUUGAGAUGACGCUUGGUGUAGAUGUUGUGCAUUCUAGGAAGUCUUUGUGUAGACAUGCUAUUAAGUCACCCCACAUGGGGAGGGAGGAACUUCUGUCUCUGUCAAGUGUUGUUACUAGUUGUUUUGCUGCAAAAUCGUUGCACUGCGAAAAAAGGUGUGGCGACGCAGCAGUGGAACUGUAUCAUAUUACUUUUGGGAAAUAUGAUGUUUUCACCAGGA